GCGGACUGCUCAGUAACACGUGGAUAACCUGCCCUAAGGUGGAGGAUAACCCCGGGAAACUGGGGAUAAUACUCCAUAGGUUAAAGGUACUGGAAUGUUCUUUAACCGAAAGUUCCGGCGCCUUAGGAUGGAUCUGCGGCCGAUUAGGUUGUUGUUGGGGUAGCGGCCCAACAAGCCUGUAAUCGGUACGGGUUGUGGGAGCAAGAGCCCGGAGAUGGAAUCUGAGACACGAUUCCAGGCCCUACGGGGCGCAGCAGGCGCGAAAACUUUACAAUGCAGGAAACUGUGAUAAGGGAACCCCGAGUGCCCGUAUAUGCUGGCUGUCCGGAUGUUUAAAACGCAUCCGAAGAAAGGGCCGGGCAAGACCGGUGCCAGCCGCCGCGGUAAUACCGGCGGCUCGAGUGGUGGCCACUUUUAUUGGGCUUAAAGCGUUCGUAGCUUGAAUAAUAAGUCUCUUGGGGAAUCUGCAGGCUUAACCUGCAGGCGUUUAAGAGAAACUGUUGUUCUUGGAACCGGAAGAGGUGAGAGGUACUCCGGGGGUAGGAGUGAAAUCCUGUAAUCCCCGGGGGACCACCGAUGGCGAAGGCAUCUCACCAGGAC
rnacentral:rRNA from 1 species